rnacentral:misc_RNA from 1 species
GAACGCAUCUUGCGCUCCUUGGUAUUCCUAGGAGCAUGCCUGUUUGAGUGUCAUGAAACUCUCAACCCCCUUGUUUUGUAAUGAAACGAGUGUGGGCUUGGAUUAUGGCUGCUGCCGGCGUUAUUGUCGACUCGGCUGAAAUAUACGAGCUACCCAUUUCUAAGAAAUAGACGGUUUGACUCGGCGUAAUAACAUAUUUCGCUGAGGACGUCACAUUCUUUAACAUUAGUGGUGCUUCUAAUGCGACAUCUAAACCUAAGCUUUAGACCUCAAAUCAGUCAGGACUACCCGCUGAACUUAAG